rnacentral:miRNA from 3 species
AGAACUGUGUAUGGACAUCAGU